CCUGGAUGUGCCCCCUAGGAAUCUGGAUCUCUUCUCUUUUCCCCACCCUGCCCUCAACUCCCCUUACAUACAUACAGCCUGGAUCACAAGACCCAAGAAAACCAUUCCACCAGCUGCUGAGAGAAGAGCCACAAAAGGACCCAGAACUUCUCCAUGGCUACCUUAGAGCACCCUAAAAUGUGCUAACAGCCAUUGUUAGCAUUCAGGAGCUGUUUAUUCCCAUUUUCACACUACACUAAAGAAUUUUAAACAAUCACAAGAUAGACUGGCUGGAAGUUGGUGCUUGGAACAUCCCACGUCACCUAAAAGCACAGUGCUGCAAUCUCAGAAACCCCAGGCUCAGCCAGCAGAGAGAGGAGAAGCAGCUGGACAUUGGAGACUAUGAUUGGACAUUAGAGAGAAGGAGCUUGACUUCACAGAGAAAGCAUGAUGGAAUAAUUUCAGAGAAAAGUCUGGCCAGGGAUGACCAGACUUCAGGGGAAGAUAAUCUUGCUCAAUAUCCUUUUCUGCUCCCCUUCCUGCUGAGAGUCACUUUGAUUGGCAAUAAAAUAUCUCACAUUUACCAUCUUCAAUUUGUUCUUGCAACCUCAUUCCUCCUGGAUGCCAGACAAGAACUCAGGUGCCAUGAGUAUGGGUGCAAAAGGCUAUCACACUGUCCCUCCACUGAGCUGUUAACACUUAAGCUAUCCAUGGACAGCAAAGCUAAAAGGGCACUGUAAGAGUCCUUCUGGGGUUUCAGAAGUCAUGAGCAUCCCCCAGAUGCUGCCAUGGGGCCAGUACAGAGUUUGCUCCUGCCAGAGUCCAAAAAUGUCUCAGCUCCUGCACCCAGUCACCUGCAUGCUCCCCCUCCCACAAGUGGUGGAGCACAGUGGGCUGAGUGAGUGGAGUUUGCCCCUGCCAGCACCCGUGCACUCCAGUUCCCACCUGUGAAGGUGUCAGAGAGAUAUUCUGCUUAAAAAUCAGAGUGACUCCAUCUUAAAUAGCAGCUGGGUGAGAUAAGGCUGAGACCUACUGGGCUGCAUUCCCAGGAGGUUAGGCAUUCUAACCUUCUAUCAGGAUGAGAUAGAAGGCCAGCAUAAGAUAUAGGUCACGAAGACUCUGCUGAUAAAACAGGAUGUGGUUUAAAUAAAUGCCAGCCAGAACCCACCAAAACCAAGAUGGUGAUGCUCAUUCUCACUGCUCAUUAUAUGCCAGUAUAAUGCAUUUGCAUGCA
rnacentral:lncRNA from 10 species